UACGUAGGGUGCAAGCGUUGUCCGGAAUUAUUGGGCGUAAAGAGCUCGUAGGCGGUUUGUCGCGUCUGCUGUGAAAACCCGAGGCUCAACCUCGGGCCUGCAGUGGGUACGGGCAGACUAGAGUGCGGUAGGGGAGAUUGGAAUUCCUGGUGUAGCGGUGGAAUGCGCAGAUAUCAGGAGGAACACCGGUGGCGAAGGCGGGAUCCUGGGCCAGUACUGACGCUGAGGAGCGAAAGCGUGGGGAGCAAACAGG
rnacentral:rRNA from 1 species